UAGAAUUCACUCUAGGUGUGGCGGUAGCACCCGGUUUUCUGUUGAUAUGAUGUAAGCUUCCGCAGCGUUUUAUUACGGAUUUUGUAAUAAAUGUAAGAGUUGAAAAUUGGGGUGUUACAUGCACCAACAACAGCAACCCCAUCCCCAAUAAGGCGAUCGCCGAUAGGAAAAACAGCCAAGCCUUCACUGGAGAAGACCCCACCACCACUAACACAGAGAGAACAACAAAAAGAAGCAACAGCGUCUCCAAAAUCUCCUGAGAUAGCAAUCAUGUUGGAAUUAUUGGUUGAAAAUAUUUCUAGAGUGGCUACAGAGCAACAACAAGUAGCCCCAUCUGCUUCAAUACCAUCUGCUACAACAUCACUAACAGAAACACCAAAAACACCAGCUGAAAUUGAAUUUGAAAGAGUCUGAAGAAGAAAUUGAAGAUGUUCACACAAAGAAAAGACCACAAAGAAAGUUGAAACAACUUCCUCUGGCCUUACGCUCACCAUAUUGGACACAAAACAGAACAAAGCUGACAAACAUUUCAACUAAACAAAAAAUAUUUUCAGACUAUGCAUUCUUGUCUUGCGGUGGUCAAUAUUCAAUGAAUGAUAUGCUUUAUUUGGGAAACAAUUAGGUCGCUAACCGGGAUGAUUUCAUGUCAUUGGCAUCCGGUUAUGUAUCUACCAACAUUGUGCAAAUUUGGUGUCAAAUGAUGAGUUUACUAGAAAUGCGAAGAUCAAUUGACAAGCCAAAAACGGUUUUCUUCUCAGAAGUCGUUUUUGUAUUCUUCAGUAUCCUCCGACACCAACAUUUCUACCUGAUGUGCUUUAAUUUCUUGAGAUCAAGACUUCAAAUAAUUGACAACAGGCCUAUUCAUGAAGGAAUUAAAGCACAAGACAAGUAUGAAGGUUGUCCGAAGAAACUAUUGAUUGCCUUCACUAAGUAUCUCGCAACAAAGAAGAGUGCACUUGCAAAGAAGAUGAAAUCAAUGAGAGUGCAAUACAUGCAGCUGCCUUGGCAAAAUGAAGAAAA